AGAAACUGAUCAUCUUAUGGUUGCUAGCUUGCUAGGAGUGCGCAGAUCCAAUGAUAUUAAGAAGUAUCUGGGUCUUCCUAAUUUGGUGAGAAAAAAUAAAACAUGUUCCUUUCAAAUUUUGAAGGACAAAAUUAAAAAGUGAAUAGAUGGUUGGAGCUUUAGUUCCCGUGGAGGGAAAAAAGUUUUUAUCAAAUCAGUGUUACAGGCAAUUUUGACUUAUUCUAUGAAGUGUUUUUUGUUACCAAAGUCUUUGUGUGAUGAAAUGAAAUCGAUUAUUGCAAGAUACUGAUGGCAAAAAGGACAUGGUCGGAAAGGAAUACACUAGUGUAGUUGGAAGAAAGCAUGUGAACUAGAAAUGUAGGUGGGCUGGGUUUUCAAAAUAUGUCAAAGUUUAAUAUGGCUCUUAUUGUUAAACAGGGCUGACGGUUAAAGGAUUAACCAGAUUCCUUACUAGCACAAGUAUUAAAAGUGAGAUACUACCUAACUACUACUUUCCUACAAGCAGAACUGGGUCGUCAGCCAUCUUAUACGUGGAAAAGUAUCUGGGCAGCGAAGGGUAUUUGGAAGAAGGGACUAGGGUGGAGAGUUGGCACAGGCGACACUAUUAGCAUUAACGAUGAUGCGUGGCUGCCUGGGGCAGAUAAUUUUAGAGCUCGUCAUCGUAUUUCUAAUGUUAAUAUUGCUAUGGUUGCAGUAUUAAUUGAUGGAAAUAAUAGGACGUGGAGGGAAGAAUUGAUACGAACUACCUUCGAACCUGAUGAUGCGGAUAGAAUCCUGCGUAUUUCAGUGGUGAGCAAAGCACACCUGGAUAUGAUCUUCUGGCGUAGGGAUCACUCGGGAGAGUUCACAAUACGUAGUGCUUACAAAAUGCUACAGAACUAAAUUCCUAAUACUUAUCCUACUAAUUCACAUAUUACGACCCAACCAUUUUACAAACAAUUGUGGGCAUUACAGCUUCCUAAUAAAAUUAAUAUAUUAGCAUAAAAAGCAUCGUGGAAUUUCAUUCCUAUGAUGGUUAAUCUACACUAGAGAAGAGUGGAUCCAAAUGCCAUAUAUCCAAGAUGUAGAGCUGGAGCUGAAACCCUUCGGCAUGUCUUUGUGGAGUGUCUUAUGUCAGAAGAAUUAUGGUGGGAAUUAAACUUUAGUUGGCUUAGGCAAAGCGAGUCAUAUGAAUGCAUUGCAUGGCUUACCUGGAUUUUCAGAAAAUAUACUGAAGCACAACGUCGACUGGUGAUCUAUGGUAUUUGGGUACUCUGGAUGGAUAGGAAUAAGAACUUACAUGAGGGAAAGUCUUAUUCAAAGAAAGAGGCUGCUAGUUAUGUAAGGCAUUACCUGGGCGAAAUUGAUGGACUAAAUGAGAGACAGAUCAGUGACACCCAGCAAAAUGACAAAUGGAAGGUCCCUGUACAAUCAACUAUCAAAAUCGAUUUUGAUGCCGCUUUUGAUGACCAAAACCAUCAGUCGGCAUCUGCGAUAGUAGUGAGGAACUAUAAAGGGGAAAUCAAAGCAACCAAGUCUUACCUCCACUCCACGGUGGCUAUGGUCUUUGAGGCAGAAGCUAUCACCUGCUAUGAAGCGGUUCUCACGAGGAAAGACAUGGAAUUCACAGAUACUCUUGUCGAAGAGGAUUCUAAAAUAAUUAUCAACAAAUGCAUCACACAAUCCAGAGAUAAAUCGCAGGUUAGUGCAUAUAUCAGUAACAUAUAAAGCGAAAAAGGCAGUUUUCAACUAUUACUUUCCUCUUUGCUUAGAGGUUGGCUAAUCAGUUAGCCCAUAUCAUUGCCACAACAAGUCUCAGAAAGGAUGAAGAGAUUUACUUGUUUUGUACGGUUCCUAGGUAUGCCACACACCAAUCGGGACUAGAACGACCAAGAGAGCCAGACUGACAUGAAACACCGGAUCGCAGAGAAUAAAGAUGUUGAGAGCCCCUUCAUCAGAAAUGUUCUCAUUUUCUCUCAGGCUUUACCUCCGUUGAAACUGAAUCAACAUUUUGGAAAAGGGAAGGUGGGGGACAGGCCAUUUACAAUUGAUGGGGAUAUCAAAGUUUUCAGGCAUUUUCUUUUUUAGUUCUAGAGUAUUCUAUUUUUUUUAGUCUAUUUUUAUUCAUUUGUCAUAUGUUUACUUUUUAAAAUUA
rnacentral:lncRNA from 1 species